GCUGCAUUCUACUAAGACUUUCUAGUCUAAUGCAUGUGAACAGUGCCUGAAAAUUGAGGGAGAUGUAUAUGGCAAAAAUGGGUCUUGAGUAAUGAGAAGUGUGUCAAAAUGGGGAAAUGGCAUUAUUAUAUAAUUCUGUGGUUUUACUGAAUUUAUAGGUUAAUUGUUAUGAUACUGUGAAUAACAGUAAUUGAGGAAGGCUUACUUCUGCCAGUGUGUUGGAUUUUUGUUUCCUUUGAAAAGGUAAUCAAUAUAAAAAGCAUGCACACUGACCUGUUGGGGGAACAGUUUAAUCUGAAGUGGUGUAUUGUGAAGCAUAAUAUGUCUCUAUUUUAGUUGCGAGUUACAAUGAAUUUGAUUAGCAACCUAUUUGCCUGCCUUUUUUUUUUUUUUUUUUUUUUUUGUGUGUGUGUGUGUGUGUGUGUGUGGUAAGUACAUUAAUGAAGCCAGUUCAUUGAUUUGGGUGGAAGUCUCUUAAAACUGUGCAUGUUCAUGAGGACAGAAUACUGGAGGAGGGAAGCUGGCCAUAUUCUUGUAAUCUCAUUUUUUCGCAUGGACCUUGCCAUGACAUCCUGAUAAACUCUGUAGGUGUUCAGUGAUGUGUACUUUCAGCAGUUGAAUUGAGGACUUGUGCAUAUGCAUGUUUCUCUUUUCUACGCACCUGAAUAGUUGCAGGAAAGUAAGUUAAACGUGACAAGACAGAUACCUGGCAGAUUGCCUAGGUGGUCUUGCCUUGAGGAAGUUUCAGCAACAGCCUGAAUGUCAACUCAAAAGCUCCCAAGUUUUGCUGGAAAAUGAGACAAAUGAGUGAAACAUGAAGAGGCGUCUGCUGGGAAUUUGCAUUUCAGUUGGAAGAAUGAUGUAUGAAUGUGUUGAAACCUUGACAAAGACAUGCUCUUUCUCAAAUGUUCAGGGACUAAUAACAACAAAGUGUGUAAUGUCUGUGGUGAAAAAUUAUUUCUUUCACAGUUUUCUGUCUUUUUGGUCUUGUUUUUUAUUUUAAUUUCAUAUCCAUACAUAAAUUACAGGGUAGGAGAAGAUAGGAGAUGUGGGAGAAGGAGUAUACCCCAGUUCUGUGCGCUGCACGAUGCAGUGCCUCUUUGCUGCAGAGUAAAUCCUGCUUUUGGGCUCUUUGGAGGACAUGCUGAUUUGAAAGCAGCAUUUUGGAUGCAAGUUGGCUUUGUGUAAAAAUGGUGUUUGUAUUUCCUGGUUUUGCAUGCAGCUAGUGUGGUUAUCCCCACUCUAUAGCAUGGCUAAUCUGUAAUGUGUUUAAUAAAUAAUUCAUAAUUAUUUAUUCACGGAUAACUUCCAGAGCAGUGUAGUCCCUUCUUUCAUGUCAAGCUGUCUAGAGCAGGGCAAAGACAAACGUUGUCAGAGCCCUUCUAGUGAUGCAUCUCAGUUUUUUCAGAGUGCUCUUAAAAACCCAAAGCUGUAGCUCACCUUCGUCUCCCUAUAGCAAGCUGCUUUUAUUAAAAAAAAAAAAAAAAAAAAAAAAAGUAUGAAUUGUAUAUACAAAAGUAUUGCUGCUAAUUGCUGGAAUGGAAGUAAUCAUGGAACUGAAGACUAACUGGUGUUAUUUCAGGUGUUCUUUGAUCCUCAAGUAGUGCAGGUACUGCAUCAUUUAUCUCAAUUAGUUAAGCUACAUGUAGUGAGUCGUCUUUGCAAGGCUGAAUUGAACAGGCUAAGUGUUGCAGCCAGUAUAUUCAAGAACGACUCCUACUCCCAGAGUAAAUUAUUACUACAACACAUAGUCAUCCUGUGUUGCAUUACUGAGAGAAAAGGAAGGUAGUCUGGGGUACAUGUGUGGCUUUGUUUCCUCUUCUUAGACAACAUUCUCAAUUUGUUUUCUCAUAACUUUAAGUAAAGAAAGAAAAAAAUAAUGGUCAACGUAUGUGUCACUUUUAACUGGGUUUUUAUCGGCUUGCAGACAGGUUUUAGAUCAAUUUCAGUAAUCGAUUUUUCUUCCAGAAAUAUUCAUAACACAUUAUUGCAGAAUGAUUUCCCAUACGCUUUUCAGAUAUAAAAAUUAAAGGUUACACAUAACAUAGUGCACUACUGUUGUCUUCCUCUAAAUGCACUGUAUAUAAGCCUGGAAGCACACAGGUGUGUGGUACUAUGACUGAGCUGUUAGUCUGCGUGCAAACCAGUAUUAUGCAUGCCAAGUCUUUCCCACCUCCCCCCUAUAUGCUGUACUAAGCUAUUGAAUUUCAACCCUUUUUUAUUUCUUUUUUUCUUCUGUCUUACCCUCCCAUCCCCCUUAUUUGUGAUGGACCAUUAAGAUAGUAACAUAGUAUG